GGGGUUGACAUGGAUUUGACAGCAGGAUGGAAUGGUACGUAAGCACGCAGAGGUCGGUGAUUUCCUCUAUAAUCUCAGUUACCAAGAAUUUAUCUGGCGAAAACAACUACGCUCUCGCUGCGUGAUCGAAGUAUAGUAGAUUACCUUUAUUUCGGCACCAGGUGCUGAAACGAGACAUCACUCGGAAACUGUGGCUCCGAAGCAUUCCGGAAAAGUGGUGCAGCUAAAUCGGAGAUAGUCGUCCGCGGCCUUGCACGGACGGUGAAAUCUUAAAGGAUAAGGCGUAAAUGGGUGGCUCGGGUCUUGUUUGCGCACGAAAACCGAAGGCCGGGAUAAGCGUGUAGAAAGCGUAUGGUUUCCCUGUUUGGACGAGGGUUCGAUUCCCUCCAGCUCCACAA
rnacentral:tmRNA from 1 species